UACGUAGGUGGCAAGCGUUGUCCGGAUUUAUUGGGUUUAAAGGGUGCGUAGGCGGUCUUAUAAGUCAGUGGUGAAAUACGGCAGCUCAACUGUCGAGGUGCCAUUGAUACUGUAGGACUUGAGUACAGACGAGGUAGGCGGAAUUGACGGUGUAGCGGUGAAAUGCUUAGAUAUCGUCAAGAACACCGAUAGCGAAGGCAGCUUACUAGGCUGUAACUGACGCUGAGGCACGAAAGCGUGGGGAUCAAACAGG
rnacentral:rRNA from 1 species